UACGAAGGGGGGCUAGCGUUGCUCGGAAUCACUGGGCGUAAAGGGUGCGUAGGCGGGUCUUUAAGUCAGGGGUGAAAUCCCGGAGCUCAACUCCGGAACUGCCUUUGAUACUGGCAAGCUAGAGUCCGGAAGAGGUAAGUGGAACUCCUAGUGUAGAGGUGGAAUUCGUAGAUAUUAGGAAGAAACACCAGUGGCGAAGGCGGCUUACUGGUCCGGAACUGACGCUGAAGGUGCCGAAAGCGUGGGGAGCAAACAGG
rnacentral:rRNA from 1 species